UACGUAGGGCGCAAGCGUUGUCCGGAAUUAUUGGGCGUAAAGAGCUCGUAGGCGGUUUGUCACGUCGGGUGUGAAAGCCCGGGGCUUAACCCCGGGUCUGCAUUCGAUACGGGCAGACUAGAGUGUGGUAGGGGAGAUCGGAAUUCCUGGUGUAGCGGUGAAAUGCGCAGAUAUCAGGAGGAACACCGGUGGCGAAGGCGGAUCUCUGGGCCGAUACUGACGCUGAGGAGCGAAAGCGUGGGGAGCGAACAGG
rnacentral:rRNA from 1 species